UACGUAGGGUGCAAGCGUUAAUCGGAAUUACUGGGCGUAAAGCGUGCGCAGGCGGUUAUGUAAGACAGAUGUGAAAUCCCCGGGCUCAACCUGGGAACUGCAUUUGUGACUGCAUAGCUAGAGUACGGUAGAGGGGGAUGGAAUUCCGGCGUGUAGCAGUGAAAUGCGUAGAUAUGCGGAGGAACACCGAUGGCGAAGGCAAUCCCCUGGACCUGUACUGACGCUCAUGCACGAAAAGGCGUGGGGAGCAAACAGG
rnacentral:rRNA from 1 species